rnacentral:rRNA from 1 species
CCGGCUCAGGUUGAACGCUGGCGGCGCGCCUAACACAUGCAAGUCGAACGAGAGAUGAGGAGCUUGCUCUUCAAAUCGAGUGGCGAACGGGUGAGUAACGCGUGAGGAACCUGCCUCAAAGAGGGGGACAACAGUUGGAAACGACUGCUAAUACCGCAUAAGCCCACGGCUCGGCAUCGAGCAGAGGGAAAAGGAGCAAUCCGCUUUGAGAUGGCCUCGCGUCCGAUUAGCUGGUUGGUGAGGUAACGGCCCACCAAGGCGACGAUCGGUAGCCGGACUGAGAGGUUGAACGGCCACAUUGNGACUGAGACACGGCCCAGACUCCUACGGGAGGCAGCAGUGGGAAUAUUGCACAAUGGGGGAAACCCUGAUGCAGCGACGCCGCGUGGAGGAAGAAGGUCUUUCGGAUUGUAAACUCCUGUUGUUGAGGAAGACAAUGACGGUACUCAACAAGGAAGUGACGGCUAACUACGUGCCAGCAGCCGCGGUAAAACGUAGGUCACAAGCGUUGUCCGGAAUUACUGGGUGUAAAGGGAGCGCAGGCGGGAGAACAAGUUGGAAGUGAAAUCCAUGGGCUCAACCCAUGAACUGCUUUCAAAACUGUUUUUCUUGAGUAGUGCAGAGGUAGGCGGAAUUCCCGCUGUAGCGGUGGAAUGCGUAGAUAUCGGGAGGAACACCAGUGGCGAAGGCGGCCUACUGGGCACCAACUGACGCUGAGGCUCGAAAGUGUGGGUAGCAAACAGGAUUAGAUACCCUGGUAGUCCACACCGUAAACGAUGAUUACUAGGUGUUGGAGGAUUGACCCCUUCAGUGCCGCAGUUAACACAAUAAGUAAUCCACCUGGGGAGUACGACCGCAAGGUUGAAACUCAAAGGAAUUGACGGGGGCCCGCACAAGCAGUGGAGUAUGUGGUUUAAUUCGACGCAACGCGAAGAACCUUACCAAGUCUUGACAUCCCUUGACGAUACUGGAAACAGUAUUUCUCUUCGGAGCAAGGAGACAGGUGGUGCAUGGUUGUCGUCAGCUCGUGUCGUGAGAUGUUGGGUUAAGUCCCGCAACGAGCGCAACCCUUAUGGUCAGUUACUACGCAAGAGGACUCUGGCCAGACUGCCGUUGACAAAACGGAGGAAGGUGGGGAUGACGUCAAAUCAUCAUGCCCUUUAUGACUUGGGCUACACACGUACUACAAUGGCGUUAAACAAAGAGAAGCAAGACCGCGAGGUGGAGCAAAACUCAGAAACAACGUCCCAGUUCGGACUGCAGGCUGCAACUCGCCUGCACGAAGUCGGAAUUGCUAGUAAUCGUGGAUCAGCAUGCCACGGUGAAUACGUUCCCGGGCCUUGUACACACCGCC